rnacentral:rRNA from 1 species
AUACGGAGGAUGCGAGCGUUAUCCGGAUUUAUUGGGUUUAAAGGGUGCGCAGGCGGCCAUUUAAGUCAGCGGUUAAAUCGUGGGGCUCAACCCCAUUCUGCCGUUGAUACUGGGUGGCUUGAUUGCGGUCGAGGUUGGCGGAAUUCGUUGUGUAGCGGUGAAAUGCAUAGAUAUGACGAAGAACACCGAUUGCGUAGGCAGCUGACCAGACCGCAAAUGACGCUCAUGCACGAAAGUGCGGGGAUCGAACAGGAUUAGAUACCCUGGUAGUCCGCACAGUAAACGAUGAAUACUUGUUUUCGGCGAUAUAAUGUCGGAGGCAAAGCGAAAGCGAUAAGUAUUCCACCUGGGGAGUACGCCGGCAACGGUGAAACUCAAAGGAAUUGACGGGU